AUAGGUAUGCUUAGGGAGGAGCUUGCGUCACAUUAGUUAGUUGGUGGGGUAAAGGCCUACCAAGACUAUGAUGUGUAGCCGGGCUGAGAGGUUGAACGGCCACAUUGGGACUGAGACACGGCCCAAACUCCUACGGGAGGCAGCAGUAGGGAAUUUUCGGCAAUGGAGGAAACUCUGACCGAGCAACGCCGCGUGAACGAUGAAGUAUUUCGGUACGUAAAGUUCUUUUAUUAGGGAAGAAUAAAUGAUGGAAAAAUCAUUCUGACGGUACCUAAUGAAUAAGCCCCGGCUAACUAUGUGCCAGCAGCCGCGGUAAUACAUAGGGGGCAAGCGUUAUCCGGAAUUAUUGGGCGUAAAGGGUGCGUAGGCGGUUAAAUAAGUUUAUGGUCUAAGUGCAAUGCUCAACAUUGUGAUGCUAUAAAAACUGUUUAGCUAGAGUAAGAUAGAGGCAAGUGGAAUUCCAUGUGUAGUGGUAAAAUGCGUAAAUAUAUGGAGGAACACCAGUAGCGAAGGCGGCUUGCUGGGUCUUUACUGACGCUGAGGCACGAAAGCGUGGGGAGCAAACAGGAUUAGAUACCCUGGUAGUCCACGCCGUAAACGAUGAGUACUAAACGUUGGGUAAAACCAGUGUUGAAGUUAACACAUUAAGUACUCCGCCUGAGUAGUACGUACGCAAGUAUGAAACUUAAAGGAAUUGACGGGACUCCGCACAAGCGGUGGAUCAUGUUGUUUAAUUCGAAGGUACCCGAAAAACCUCACCAGGUCUUGACAUGCUUCUGCAAAACUGUAGAAACACAGUGGAGGUUAUCAGUUGCACAGGUGGUGCAUGGUUGUCGUCAGCUCGUGUCGUGAGAUGUUGGGUUAAGUCCCGCAACGAGCGCAACNCUUAUUGUUAGUUACCAGCACGUAAUGG
rnacentral:rRNA from 1 species